rnacentral:rRNA from 1 species
UACGAAGGGUGCAAGCGUUAAUCGGAAUUACUGGGCGUAAAGCGCGCGUAGGUGGUUCAAUAAGUUGGAAGUGAAAUCCCCGGGCUCAACCUGGGAACUGCUUUCAAAACUGCUGAGCUAGAGUACGGUAGAGGGUGGUGGAAUUUCCUGUGUAGCGGUGAAAUGCGUAGAUAUAGGAAGGAACACCAGUGGCGAAGGCGACCACCUGGACUGAUACUGACACUGAGGUGCGAAAGCGUGGGGAGCAAACAGG